GGUCUUAUAGUGUAGCGGUUAGCACCGGAGAUUCUGAUUCUCCUAUCCCGAGUUCAAAUCUCGGUAGGACCU
rnacentral:tRNA from 1 species